AAAAGGGGUCCCGUAGGUUGGGAAAAUGCACAAUUAAAAGUUCGUUGUUUCAAAUAGUGAAGAGGUUUGGUUAAUCGUUUGCGGAACGGAUAGGGAGUUUUAGUUUAGACUGGCGAAGAAAGGAAAUUUCUAGACCCAGUUUGGAUUAACGGAGGGCGAAGGUGACACUCUUAGACGUAUCUUAGGAUCAAGGACGAAGGCAGGAGUAUCGAAAGUGAUUAGACACCGCUGUAGUUCUUGCAGUAAAAUAUGCCGACAGCCUGUGUGUGAGAAUACGUGGGCGGGAGAAAUCUUAGUGUUCGGGCUCUGGGGAUAGUACGCUCGCAAGGGUGAAACUUAAAGCGAAAUUGACGGAAGGACACUACCAGGAGUGGAUUGUGCUGCUUAAUUUAACUCAACGCGGGAAAACUUACCAGGGUCAAGUCAUUCGUUGAUCGAAUACGUGAGAAUGGCAGGAGUGGUGCAUGGCCGUUGGAAAUUGAUGGGGCGACCUUUAGCUUAAAUGCUUAAACCAGUGAGACCUCCUUGACAGGUGUUCUGUAACACAGGAGGGUGGAGGCUAUAACAGGUCCGUGAUGCCCUUAGAUAUCCUGGGCAGCAAGCGCAAUACAAUAUCUCUUCAGUAGACAAAGUGAUUUGAGAUGAGUAGGAUCUACGUUUGUAAAUACGUAGUGAAUAAGGAAUUCCUAGUAACGGUGCCUCAUCAAGGCAUGGUGAAUGUGUCCCUGUUCUUUGUACACACCGCCCGUCACUAUUUCAGAUGGUCAUAGGGAUGAAGAGCUUCGGCUCUGAAUAUCUAUGGCUAGAUAAAGUACAAGUCGUAACAAGGUUUCAGUUGGAGAACCAGCUGAAGGAUCAUUU
rnacentral:ncRNA from 1 species